CAUCAAUCCAGGAAUUUAGGGCUCAUGGGUGCCAUCUUGGAGACAAGCUAGCACACCUGUAAUGCUAGAAGCUGAACCCAGGAGCACCAGCAGAGGCUGUAGAUUCUGGUGAUGUCUCAAACACUCUUCCUGUGAUCUUGAUACAGUAACAAAAUUUCUGGGUACCCUGAAAAUGGAAAGAAUAAGUUUCAACCAGAAACUUCUAACAGAGUUUGACACGGACAUUUGCCCCAGUGUGUCAUGCUCAGAGGAAUGACUCAUAGGUCCUAAUGAGAGAGCACACUUUGGAAAAGGAUGACUGACUUUUAGAAGGAAGACCCAAACAAACCGGUCAACAGAAAUGGAGUGCUGCUCUAGUGCCAUGCCCGAGACACCUGCCAAUAGUCCUCUGCCACUCGCCAUCCCUGCAUCAGCAUCUGGGACAUGGUCAUUACACUUGACGGCUUGUCACUCCACCUCUCCUCACUCCUCAGCUCACAGAAAAGAGAUUUGUGAAAUACCAGCUCUGGUCUUGGUAAAUAUUUGUUUCCCCUGGCACCCUGGAAAAGGCAUUUUUAAAACUCUUCCUACACUUUCGGUGUGGCAGCAGCUUUAUCAGUAUGUGAAGACAGAGCGAUGAUGUGGCUUGGAUACUUGACAUUUUGUAUUGUUGCAAAGUGGCAAAUUGCACUGAGCUGUAAAUACACUAUAAAUGGUGUUGUGCUGAAUUAUAAAGACAAUUAGCAUAUU